rnacentral:misc_RNA from 1 species
GGAUCAUCACCAAUAUGUUUAUGUUUCCACAGUCCACAACAAGCAGAAGUUGGACAAGCUUGCAUAGGCAACUAACACAAAUAAGGAUAAAGCUGGGGUUCUGAAGCAGUACAUUUUGUAAAGAAAUAUAAGUAACAACCGACCCACUGUUCAUAUGUCUUAGCAGCUCAUUGGACACAUAAGCCGAAGUGAAACUUAUUUCAUAGAAAUGCCUGAUCUUCAACAUAGUUUCAAACAUUAGGAGGCGGCCAAAUCUUCCCGAACAGCUCCUCGACUUGCCUCGUCUGACUAACGUAGCUUUCCAGACCAGCAGACAGAAGUUCCUCAGCAGCGGGCCCCAUUUUCGAAGCAAAGUUCAGUUGGUUCCAUUUAGCAAGCUCUUCUUCAGUGAAAUUGCAGGCUAAGGCCGAACCCAGGGAUAGCCUCCUAACAUACGAGUACUUCUCAUCAGGAUAGCUGACUGACUCUUGUAGUGACUGUAAUAUCUUCAGAGGUGUGAUGAUGUAAUCGACCCCGAGGAGGCUGAAUAUAUCCUGCUUAUUCCUAACUGAUGCUGCCAUCAACUUCGAUUUGUGUCCGUAUUUGUGGAUAUAAUUGUAUGCUUUAGUUACCAAAGCCAAUCCAGGAUCUUCUCCCCUUUUGACAGCAGCUUCUACCUCGGGAUCACCUGAAUGAUUGCGGGCCCAAUCCCUGAGGCGACCAACAAAUAUCUGGAUAACAGAUGCGCCAGCUUGAGCUGCUGCUGCUGCCUGAGGAAAGCUAUAAACAAAUGUCAAGUGAGUCUGUAUUCCUUCAGAUUCCAGUAACCUU